rnacentral:rRNA from 1 species
AGCAGUCGCCGCGGUAAUACGAAGGGUGCAAGCGUUACUCGGAAUUACUGGGCGUAAAGCGUGCGUAGGCGGCUUCUUAAGUCGGAUGUGAAAUCCCUGAGCUUAACUUAGGAAUUGCAUUCGAUACUGGGAAGCUAGAGUAUGGGAGAGGAUGGUAGAAUUCCAGGUGUAGCGGUGAAAUGCGUAGAGAUCUGGAGGAAUACCGAUGGCGAAGGCAGCCAUCUGGCCUAAUACUGACGCUGAGGCACGAAAGCGUGGGGAUCAAACAGGAUUAGAUACCCCUGUAGUCCCUGUCUCUUAUAC